CCUUGGGGAGGAAAAAAAAACAACGCUAUUUCAGAUUUGCUCAGGGAUUAAAUUUACUGGAAUGAAAUUAACACCAUAUACUUGCAUGGUGGCAUAUGUUUGCAUAGUCCGCACACGGACUGCAGUGAUCUCUCUUCUUGAAAUCAGUGAAAUGCUGGACAGGGGGAGAAGAUGUAGAGACUAGCACAAAGGUGCCAUUUAUUCAUGAAUGUGAAAGCUCCCAAACUGGCUUAUCAGAUGCUCAGCUUGAUACUCCAGAUGAAAUGAGAGGUUUAAAAUUAGACUGGGGAUAGCUAUAGAAGACUUAAUGCUGGGGACGAGGUGGGAAAAAUACGAGAACCCUAACUACAAGCUCCUGGAUGUGCAGAGGUAGGGAAAGGAUCUGAAAAAAAAAAAAAAUCCCGCCCCCCCCCCCCCCAAAAAAACCAGCUAAAUCAGACUUAAAAAACGUGACUUGAAAUGUGUGGCUCAAAAUGCAGUCAGAAAAGUUUCAAAAUGAAUUUCACAUUAGGUCAUUGUUUUUGGCACUGAAGUGGAAUUUUGCCAGUUAGAGUACCUGUGAUAAAAGUCUUGGAAAAAUAUGGUUGUUUUUGACACACACAGUCAGUCUCUCUCUCUCUCUCUCUCUCUCUCUCUCUCUCUCACACACACACACACACACACACACACACACACACAUUUAGAAUGGAAAUCCCUUUUUUUUCCAGGAACCUCUGGUGGCACAUUAGUGUUAAGAAAACACAGGGAUUGAAUGAAUUGUUCCAGGUGAUGAUGCUGGUAGAAAUGAAACUAGAAUUUAUAUGGCUUGCAUAUUUAUACGGCUUGUGCCCACUGUUCUAUUAAAAACUAUUAAAUGUGCAGUUUAUAGUGCAGUUUAUGUGCAGUUUCUGAGUUUAUCGUUAUAUGAAAUUGAAACAUUACAGAUGUUUUACAUCUUUAAUACAAAUAAGACCAAAGCUCCCAACUUUAGAGGUCAGCUAGCUAGAGGUAAAAACUGUUCUACAUUUAGGUCCAGUCGCCCAGAGUCCAGUUUGUUAGUACAUUUCAGUCUGGUUCAUUACUUCCGUGCUGUAUGCAUACUGGACUCGCUGACUUCCCUGUAGGUGGGCAUUUACAUGGUUUGUAUCUUGGGCAUACCAGUGGAAUUACCAUGAGUAGAAAAAUGGGCUCACAGGUAUGCCCAUUUUUAGUUUUAAAGAUACUGCAAUGUUUCUCUCCUAGUGGUUGUUACCGGUUUAUCCCCCUCCCAGCAUGAGAAUACUUGUUUCUCUGACAUCAUUUUAUUUGAAUUUUUUUAAAGUUUAUUUAUUUUGAGAUCGAGAGAGUGAAGAGGGGAUGGGGGAGAGGGAGAGAGAGAAUCCCAAGCAGGCUCUACGCCGUUGACACAGAAUCUGACAUGGGGCUUGAACUCACAAACUGUGAGAUUAUGACCUGAGCUGAAAUAGAGAGUUGGAUGCUUAACUGACUGAGCUACCCAGGUGCCCCCAUCUUCUCGUCAUUUUAAAGUUGAAAAGCUUCUCCUAAUCUGAUGGGUGAAAAAUUGUAUCCUAAUGUUAGUUUAAUUUGCAUUUUCUUGAUUACCAGGAAGUUUGAGAAUCUUUUGUGUUUAUGGCCUGUGUUUCCUCUUCUGAAAUUGUGUGUUAAUAUACUUUGGCCAUUUCUCUUAGCUCUCUGUUAUUUGUAGCGUAGGUUGUAAAUAUUUCUUCCAGUGUCUCAGUUUCCCUUAACAUUGUUUAUAGGUACUUUUGUUACACGUAAUCAAAUGGCUUCAUCUUUUAUUUUUGGCUUUUUUGGAAUCUUGAGAAUGCUUUUUCUAACUCAGCACUUUAAAAACAUUCUCCUACAUUUUUCUAUUUUUAUUUUUUACAUUUCAUUGUAUAUUUCAUCUGAAUCCUAUUUUGGUAUAAGGUUAUGGUCUGAUUUUACUUAUUUUUCUAAUGGAUGACUUUUUUUUUUAUUGGAUAGUCUCCUCUUUUCUCAUUGAGUUUCCUUUGUAUCAAAUACUAAAUUGUCAUAUAGUUUCUGAAAUCUGUUUGGCCCUUUAAUCUAUUUUUUGUAUUUCCCUACAUUUAAUUCCUAUAGAUUUUUAAUGUUCUGACAUCCGAAAGAGCAAGUUCCUGUAGUCUUGGCUGUCUCUACAUUCAUUGUUUCAUGUUUUUUUUGUGCUUCAAACAUCUGUAUUUUCAUUUUUACUUGUACACUCAUUUCCAAAUACCUCUACUCCUUGAUUCCUUCCUGUCCUGUUUCAUAUUACUCUUGAAACUGAAUGCUCAAGGAACACAAAAAUUUUACUGGGGUUUUGCUUGGUUUGCCCUCAAUACAUAGAUUGGUUAGAGGACAGUAACCUCUUUUUGAGUUUUUCUGUUCAUGAACAUGAUAUCUUUUCUCCCUUUUUCAGGUCUUUUGUAGUUAUUUACAUUUUACAGUUUUCCUCAUUGUCUUUGCCAGUUUCAUUUUAGGGUAAUUUCUAGGUGCCUUUUUAGAGUCUGUCAUUCCUAAGAAUGGCCUCUUUUUAUGAUCUUUUGUUUGGUUUCAGUUGAUACAUAGGAACAUUAGUGAUUUUCACGUGGUGAACUUGUAUCCUGCCAUGCAGAACUCUUUUUACGUUCUAAUAAUUUGUGGAUUAUCUAGGAAGUUGGCUUCAUCUUUAUCUGCCAAUAAUGUUAAUUUUGUCUCUUUUCAGCUUUUGUAUUUCUUACAUCUUUUGCUUUUAUUGCAUUGGCUAGGACCCGGUAGUUGUGCAUUGUAACACUGCAAGGGGGUCUCAUAUUGUUGUCUUUCAUGGUAAAGCCCCUAAGUUUUUCGUGUUAAAUAAAGAUGUUUGCUGUGGGCUUCUGAUAAAUAACAUUUAUCAAGUUAAAGAAGAUACUUGCGACUUUGUUUGCUAAGAGUGUUUUCUUUUGGGGAGGGAGAUCAUGAGUGAAUGUUAUUUUAUCCUGUGCUUUCCAACACCUAUUGACUCUUUUAGCAAUUCCUUUAAUAAUGCCCUGAAUUCACUUGAGAGAGCAGUGGUAACACUUAACCAGCUCUACACCCUUUUCAUGAUACAUGAAACCAUCUUACUUUUAAUGAUACAUAUUUCUUUUAAUCCAACAUACUGGAUUUUGACAGUAUUUUAUUUAGAUUUUUGUACCCAUAAUCAAAUAAGUAAGAUUGGCCUAUACUUUUCCAUUCUGGUGUUCUCCUUUUUUUUUUUUUUAAAUCAAGGUUACAUUAAAUCUCCUGUGUUUGUUACUGUUUAAGUAUAGCCUAGUGAGGACUUGGUGGGCCUUAACAGUUUGGGAACGUGUCUGUUUAUUCAGUUCUUGGUGAUCACUAAGGUGUGUUAUGCUCUUACUAUGUGCCAGGAUCUCUUACAGGUAUUAAGUGUACCAACUUAAUCGUCACAAUAAUCCUGUGCUAUGACUGUUGUUAUUCCCCUUCCAAAGCUGAAGAAACAAGGUACGUUCCGGUGAUGUAACUGGCCAAGGCCUCACAGUUCGCCAGACGAGUUUAGUUUGAGCUGAUACAUGUUAAUGGCUCAUAAUAGAAGCUAGUAUAUACAAUAUGUUCAGUAAACACCAUUUAUUAUACUUAUUAUUGAGACUUAAACAUGUAUUGGUAUAAACAAUUUCAAGUGUUUAUUUUAAAAUAUUUCUAUUUUAACCUUUUAUUAUUAGAAAACAUCAAACACUUGAAAGUACUGUAACUUUGAUGUAGCCAUUACUCAAUUACAGCCGUCACUGGCUCAUGGCCAAUCUUCACAUCUACUUCCUCCUACAUAUCCUUUGAAGUAAAUCCCAGGUAUUUUAUUCAUUAAUAUUUUAGUAUAAAAGAUAAAAUUAAAAAAUAUAUAUAUAAACAUUAUCACACCUCAGCAAAUGAACAGUUACCAAAUAUUUUGAGUGUAACUGCAGAUACAUGGUAGAUGCUUUUCUUCCCAAUGGCAAUUUAUGCCCUCCCUACUUUUUCUUCACCAUUUUCCAAAACUGUAUGUUUUAUGAGACUUAAGUUCUUAGAAAAUCUCAGCCGUUAUUUCUUGAAUCUCUUUUGUCAACAUGGAUCACUUCUGAGACGUAUGUUAGAACUCACCUAUCUAGUCCGUAACUAAGUUUGAUUUCACUUCUGUCCAUUCUACUACUGCUAGCCUGUCUCUUGUUUUUCCCCUAUCUUGGACUCUCUGAUUUGUUCCUGUUUGAUUAUACAUGUUUCUGGUUAAUGUCCUAGUCUUCUGUUAGAUCUCUGAGCAUGUGUUCUAUUGUAACUGCUCCAGUAACUGAUUUACACUUUGUUGUUGUUCUUCUUGCUUUGAUCAUUAUGUUAACUUUCCGCAGAUUCUAAAUUGUACUCAGUUUACCUUCUUAUGUAGCAUGACUAGCGUUUUUUUUUUUUUAAUCCUCUGUACUAAUUAUUAUUUUUUUCCAGUAGGACCAAAAUCUAACCUUUGCUUAAUAUGUUCUAGUGAAACUGUUAGACUCAGGACCCUUUCCCCAACCUCCCCCUGUCCCCCAAACCAAUCUCUUUGUUAAAGCUCUCCAUAGCCUUUCAGAUAGAAAAGUCCCGUAUUACGUAUCUUAUUAUAGUGUGUACUCUAUGUGGAUGUACUCUUGCCUGUCCUUGGAUUGUCUUUCUUAGAUUUAGCCACUCUUAAAUAAGCACCUAAAUUAAAGGAAGCACCUACACAGUAAGAUUUCAAACAUGACCAGAAACUAAGUCAAAUUAAUCAAAUCCACAGAUCAUUUAAAUAUUUUCUAUAUACCAAACAUGAUAGUGAAAGGGUAAAGACUGAAAAAAUAGAGGCCAUUCUCAGAUUAGGAAUUAGGUAGAGGAUAUUUAUUGAGUUUCAUGGAUUUGCCCUUCAGACUAUAAGAACUUGGUGAAAAAGUGAUACUAGUAAUUUUAUAACAUAUAUAAAACAAGAGUAGUGUACAGAUUCACUGUUUGCCUUUCUCAAAGGGCCCCAUUGAGAGGAAUGUUUAUUUAGUGCAGUUAAGAAGAAAGCAAAAUGUGUUUUCAUCUUUCCUUGCCUAUACCUCAAAGAAAUAGAAGUCCUUGAAGUUCCUGAUGUACAGUAAUGGUCAACAGACCUAUUUGUAUGCAUGCUCAAUCAGAGGAACGGUUACAUUUCAUCUACCCAGCUGGAAAAAGCAAAUAUUUGAAGGAAGGAAAAAGGGAAGUACGAGGACAUCAAGACUCAGAGAAGCCUGCAAGUUGUCUCAAAUCACGCUUGCUACUAAAUGAAGCAGUCUUGGUAUUCUGAAACUGGAGCAAAAUGCGACAAAGUGAACUUCCUACUGACUGGGCACGCAGUCAAAUGCAUGUCGUCAAGACUAGGGGUUCAAUCACAGGCUGUUCUUUCUCGACGAAAAAAUUCACUGAUCUGAUACUUGUCGAAGCAGCUCCUCAUUGUUUCUUAUUUCCGUUUUUGUUUUGUGGGCUUACGUGUCCUCAUAACUUCUGAAGACCCAAUGAAUUCUGCCAUUAAGUUUAUUUCGAUAAACUUGUUAACCCUUCUUUUAUAUGGUCUUAGGGACCACAGCAGGGAAGGACUAACUAGAGGAGAAAAGGGCUGUAGCUCAGCCAAGGUCUUAGAAGCACCUUUAAACUGGAACAAAAUAGCCUUUCUGUAUCUCCUUCCCUCUAAUGGAUCUGCCUUGCCUAAGGCAAUGGUGCAAGACCCACUCGAGCACGCUCGGCUAUGGUAUGGAAACAAAACAAAAACGCCACGUUUGCCUUAUUAUACACACAGAACGCAUAGUGCUUUCUGAGAUUCACUUGGUGCGUCACCUAUUCCCCUGGAUCCCCUUUCAGGUUAAAACUUACCUAUAUUUUUAACUAAGUUCAAGUGUUCUCCGCUAAGGAGAAUGUCAAUGGAAUUUUGCUGCACAGUCCCAGGAGGGCAGAGGCAACAUAGGAAUCAAAUUUUACUGUCGGAGAGGUUUUCACAGCAGAGCAUGAAAAGAACACUCUGUGCAGAGAUGACACGAUUUCAGUUCUCAAGUGAUUAGUGCUUACGAAAGAACCAAUGACUUGGUUUCCAAUGGAAUGGAAAGAUUUCUUUGAUGAAUUUUUUUAAAGUAUGUGGAAACAAAUAUUGCAGGAAUAGAAAAGCAUGCUGUCUAUUACAAUGUAGGUGCCUGUCCUGCCCACACCAGCGCUAGAAGAAAUGAGGACACCCAACUAGGACGGUCAUUCGUUUAACAGUAACCUGGAAAAGUUACCAUCUAAAUCUUGAGGUCUCCAUUUUCUGACUUCCUGCCCCAACUCCAGAAGGCUUUGGUCCUUUGCUUUCAUCUGACAGUGGGCCCGGAUUCCCAUCCUUUCUCCGCUGUCCAGGUUGAACCUUCAGGAACCUAAGUGCUGGUCCUUGCUUUACAUUCUUCACCAGCUGUGGGGAAGAUCCUAAGUGCCAGAUGAUGGCCAAUCUCCAGAGUCAAAGCAAUAAUAAAUGUAUCUGUCACUUUCAUAAAUGAAUUUUUCAGAGUAGUUUUCCUUUAAGUGGCUCAGCUUUUUAAACUACUUUUUGUUUUCAUUUUAACUACUUGGAUGAAAAAUUUCCCCAAAUGGGUAACUAGCUGUUAUAUGUUUUUUUCUUACCACAAAUACCUCUGAAAAGUUCACUU